UGUGUGAGAACAGUAUAGUAUUUAGGCCAUCAAAUCCCACUGCUAGGCUACGGCUAUUGAAGUGGGGCAAAAUGGGGUACAACGGUAGCUUCAACAGUAAAGUUUAUUCAGAAAAUAAUUAUUGGAACGGCCUCAUUGUCCAUUGAUGUUGUUCCGACCAAAGUUGGGCCAAACACAGGGCACCGUAUGACACUAUUUCAUAUUGGGGUAGAACAAUGGUGUGUGUGCACACUGUGUUGAAUCUAUUGAGUUUGAGCAGCUUUGUAUGAAGGCAGCCCGAGCAGAUUUUUAUGGUACUAAAAUUGGUCAUUUGAGGUUAGACGUUGAUUGACUACAUGGGAUAUUGAUAGUGAAUGGCAUCAAUCCCGAUGCCUUCCUUGUGCACAUAGAUCUAGUUGUACCUGCUAAAGAUGAAUGUGUGGGAGAGGCGUCAAGACUGAAUGAGGAUUCAUUACCUCACCCGAUCCUAGGGAUAGCAUUCCUCUUUUGUGUGAGAUAGUUUCACCCCAGUCAUGGGUGAAGAAUGUAUAUAGAAGGUGGAAUAAUGUGGGAAAGCAUAAGCGUUUUCCUAGUAGUGCUGUUGUUUCCCCUUUUCAGCCCCCUAAUGACGCUGGGAAGGCGGCUAAGGAAUUUGCCAUUGCAGCAGCUCACACCAAUGAGUUAGUAUGGCUUUUCACGUGGUUAUGUAAGGUAUGUUUCAUUCAACCUUCAACAUUUAUUGGUUACUCGUGCUUUUGCAUAUUGUCACAGGUGGUAGGUGGGCCGUCAGCGUGGGUAACAUUUGCUCAAAAAGACUGAAUGAUGGCUGAAGAUUUGCAAUUGGUGCAUAAUUUCUUGCACAAGGAGAUUCGAAAGGAAGUAUAUGUGCUUAAGAAUGAUAAUGUUUCACUAAGUGAAGCAAACCUCCUCCCCCUUUUUAAGAUGAAUGGUUGGUUGUCUGAUGAGGUUAUAGAUGCAUAUGGCAGCCUAUUGAAGACACAGAGGCAGAAUUCUAUAAAAUUUUAGUAUGUGCUUGUAGUGGCUCAAGUGAAAUACCCUUUUUUGCAUUUCCAACAUGAUUGUACUACUUUUAUGAUUAGAUUCACCAACCUUUUAGGGUCGGAUACAUGAUUAGUAACAAUACCUGCGUAAG